rnacentral:rRNA from 1 species
UACGAAGGGUGCAAGCGUUAAUCGGAAUUAUUGGGCGUAAAGGGUGCGUAGGCGGUUCGGUAAGUUUCGUGUGAAAUCUUCGGGCUCAACUCGAAGUCUGCACGAGAUAUUGCCGGGCUUGAGUGUGGGAGAGGUGAGUGGAAUUUCCGGUGUAGCGGUGAAAUGCGUAGAUAUCGGAAGGAACACCUGUGGCGAAAGCGGCUCACUGGACCAUAACUGACGCUGAGGCACGAAAGCUAGGGGAGCAAACAGG